rnacentral:RNase_P_RNA from 1 species
UAUGGAAGCCAUUUGACCGCGCAAUUUUUGUGAGGAAAGUCCGAGCUCCGCAGGGCAAAAUGCCGGAUAACGUCCGGUGAAGGCAACUUCAAGGAAAGUGCAACAGAAAACAAACCGCCGAAUUUUCGGUAAGGAUGAAACCGUGAGGUAAGAGCUCACGUAAUAUAUAGGUAACUAUAUAUUAUGAAAACCCCAUUUGGAGCAAGACCAAGUAGAACCGUUAAGCAGCUGCCCGUUGUGGUUCGUGGUAGGUCGCAUAAGCAUUUUGGCGACAAAGUGCUAAGAUAGAUGGUCAUUAAUACAGAACUCGGCUUAUUCGCUUGCAUAUUAA